AACUGAUUCAGAAGGUCUUAGCGAAUCAAGAAGUUAUCCUGAGGAAAAGAAAAUCCGUUGUGGAAGCUGAGUUGGAAAGUAAGUGCAAAUUGGCGGAAGAUGAAAUCGAGAGCAAGAGACGGGCUUGGGAACUAAGAGAGGUUGAUAUCAAGCAGAAGGAAGACCUAGUUGGUGAAAAGGAACAUGACUUGGAAGUUCAAUCGAGGAUAUUGGCAGAGAAAGAAAAGGAUAUAACAGAGAGGUCUUAUAGUCUUGACGAGGAAGAGAAGCAUUUGAAUGCUACAGAGGAAGAUAUCAGCCGUAAGACAAAUCUGCUGGAGAAUGAGAAGGAACGGUUAAGAAAGUUAGACUCAGAUCUGCAGCAGGCUUUGAUUUCAUUAGAAGACAAGAGAAAACGUGUUGACUCUGCAACGGAAAAGCUUGAAGCCCUGAAGAGUGAGACAAGCGAAUUAUCCAUUCUGGAGAUGAAACUCAAGGAGGAGCUAGAUGAUAUGAGGGGUCAAAAGCUUGAACUCCUUGCUGAAGCAGAUAGAAUGAAGGUGGAGAAAGCUAAAUUUGAAGCCGAGUGGGAACACAUUGACGUGAAAAGGGAAGAGUUAAGAAAAGAAGCGGAGUAUAUCACUCGUCAAAGAGAGGCUUUCUCGAUGUAUCUCAAGGACGAGCGUGAUAACAUCAGGGAGGAAAGGGAUGCGUUGAGAAAUCAGCACAAGAACGACGUGGAGGCGCUAAACCGAGAGCGUGAAGAAUUCAUGAAUAAAAUGGUGGAGGAACAUUCAGAGUGGCUUGGCAAGAUACAGCGCGAACGUGCUGACUUCUUGUUGGGUAUCGAGACGCAGAAAAGAGAGCUGGAGUAUUGCAUUGAGAACAGACGAGAAGAGCUGGAGAAUUCUUCGAGGGAGAGAGAGAAGGCUUUUGAGCAAGAGAAGAAGUUGGAAGAGGAGCGUAUACAGUCCCUCAAGGAGUCGGCGAAGAAAGACUUAGAACAUGUCCAAGUGGAACUAAAGAGGUUGGAUGCGGAGAGGCUGGAGAUCAAAUUGGACCGUGAGAGGAGGGAGAGGGAGUGGUCUGAGUUGAAGGAUUCGGUUGAGGAGCUAAAGGUUCAACGAGAGAAACUAGAGACGCAAAGGCAUAUGCUUCGAUCCGAAAGAGAAGAAAUCAGACACGAGGUUGAAGAGCUGAAGAAGUUGGAGAAUCUGAAAGUUACGUUAGAUGAUAUGUCCAUGGCUAAAAUGCAGCUGUCUAAUUUUUAGAUCCUUUGUUUGUUCCAGUUUUUUUUUUUUUUUUUUUUUUUUUUUUUUUUUUGUCCUCAGCUGGAGAAGACUUUGCAUGAGAUUCGUGCAGAAUGUGCUGAGACCAAAGUUUCUGCUGGGAGUAAAAUGUCUGAGGCUCAUACUAUGAUUGAGGAUGCUCUCAAGAAAUUUGCAGAUGCUGAAGCAAAAAUGCGCGCAGCUGAAGCUUUACAAUCAGAAGCUAACCGGUAUCACCGGAUUGCAGAGAGAAAAUUGAAGGAAGUUGAAAGUCGUCAAGAUGAUCUUGCUCGGCGUCUUGCAUCUUUCAAAUCUGAGUAAGUUUUUCUACUGUCUCGGUUAACCGCACUACUGGGCUUGUGCUAUUGAUAUGUAGUAGUAGUAUUAAUCUGUGUUGGUUCUUUUAUUCCAUGGUUUAGGUCUGAAACGAGAGAGAACGAGAUUGUUAUUGAGCGACAGACUUUAAGUGAGAGACGAAAGAGCUUGCAGCAAGAGCAUGAACGAUUAUUGGAUGCUAAAGCUUCACUAAAUCAGCGAGAAGAUCACAUUUUUGGUAGAUCCCAAGAAUUAGCUGAACUUGAAAAGGGGUUAGAGUCUGCAAAGACCACAUUUGAGGAGGAACGUAGAGCCUUGGAGGAUAAAAAGUUCAGUUUGGAGAUCGAAUUAGCCUCGCUUGCUAAACGAGAAGUGGUUUGUAUACACAUAAGUACCUGUCAUUUUUUAUUUAUUUUGCUUAACACCUUGACCAAAAAACUUAUAUGAGGCAUAAAACAGGCGGUCUCUGAAAGGGAAUCUUCACUACUUGAGAAAGAGCAAGAGCUGCUUGUUGCUGAGGAAAAAAUUGCCAGCAAGGAAUCUGUGAGUUUUACUUGUUUAGUUCAACGUACCUUCUGUUUAUCAUUCAUACUUUUAGUUUUGUGCUCAGUUGUUUGCGAGAGUUAAAGUGCUUUCAAACAAUCAAUACAGGAACUGAUUCAGAAGGUCUUAGCGAAUCAAGAAGUUAUCCUGAGGAAAAGAAAAUCCGUUGUGGAAGCUGAGUUGGAAAGUAAGUGCAAAUUGGCGGAAGAUGAAAUCGAGAGCAAGAGACGGGCUUGGGAACUAAGAGAGGUUGAUAUCAAGCAGAAGGAAGACCUAGUUGGUGAAAAGGAACAUGACUUGGAAGUUCAAUCGAGGAUAUUGGCAGAGAAAGAAAAGGAUAUAACAGAGAGGUCUUAUAGUCUUGACGAGGAAGAGAAGCAUUUGAAUGCUACAGAGGAAGAUAUCAGCCGUAAGACAAAUCU
rnacentral:lncRNA from 1 species